CAGAAAGUAUACGCCGAUCAAACCGCGAACUUCUAAACCUAUGACGAUCGACUCAUGUUGCCUCGGCCGGGUUCUCCCGCCAGAAG
rnacentral:misc_RNA from 1 species